rnacentral:rRNA from 1 species
UAAUACCCUAUAGGUUACAGAUGCUGGAAUGCUCUGUAAUCAAAAGUUCCGGCGCCCUAGGAUGGAUCUGCGGCCGAUUAGGUUGUUGUUGGGGUAAUGGCCCAACAAGCCAGUAAUCGGUACGGGUUGUGGGAGCAAGAGCCCGGAGUUGGAUUCUGAGACACGAAUCCAGGCCCUACGGGGCGCAGCAGGCGCGAAAACUUUACAAUGCGGGCAACCGUGAUAAGGGAACCUCGAGUGCCUGUAAAUGCAGACUGUUCAGAUGCCUAAAACACGUCUGGAGAAAGGGCCGGGCAAGACCGGUGCCAGCCGCCGCGGUAAUACCGGCGGCUCGAGUGGUGGCCACUUUUAUUGGGCUUAAAGCGUUCGUAGCUGGGUUGUUAAGUCUCUUGGGAAAUCUGGCGGCUUAACCGUCAGGCGUCUAAGGGAUACUGGCAAUCUUGGAACCGGGAGAGGUGAGGGGUACUUCGGGGGUAGGAGUGAAAUCCUGUAAUCCUCGAGGGACCACCUGUGGCGAAGGCGCCUCACCAGAACGGCUUCGACAGUGAGGGACGAAAGCUGGGGGAGCAAACCGGAUUAGAUACCCGGGUAGUCCCAGCCGUAAACUAUGCGCGUUAGGUGUAU